rnacentral:rRNA from 1 species
GACAGGGGGUGCAAACGUUGUUCGGAAUCACUGGGCAUAAAGCGCACGUAGGCGGCCGACUAAGUCAGAUGUGAAAGCCCCCGGCUCAACCGGGGAACAGCACCUGAUACUGGUUGGCUUGAGGACGGUAGGGGUGAGUGGAACUCCAGGUGGAGCGGUGAAAUGCGUAGAUAUCUGGAGGAACACCGGUGGCGAAAGCGGCUCACUGGACCGUCUCUGACGCUGAGGUGCGAAAGCUAGGGGAGCAAACGGG